AGUGAACGCUGGCGGUAGGCCUAACACAUGCAAGUCGAACGGCAGCACAGUAAGAGCUUGCUCUUACGGGUGGCGAGUGGCGGACGGGUGAGGAAUACAUCGGAAUCUACUUUUUCGUGGGGGAUAACGUAGGGAAACUUACGCUAAUACCCCAUACGACCUACGGGUGAAAGCAGGGGAUCUUCGGACUUUGCGCGAUUGAUUGAGCCGAUGUCGGAUUAGCUAGUUGGCGGGGUAAAGGCCCACCAAGGCGACGAUCCGUAGCUGGUCUGAGAGGAUGAUCAGCCACACUGGAACUGAGACACGGUCCAGACUCCUACGGGAGGCAGCAGUGGGGAAUAUUGGACAAUGGGCGCAAGCCUGAUCCAGCCAUACCGCGUGGGUGAAGAAGGCCUUCGGGUUGUAAAGCCCUUUUGUUGGGAAAGAAAAGCAGCAGGUUAAUACCCCGCUGUUCUGACGGUACCCAAAGAAUAAGCACCGGCUAACUUCGUG
rnacentral:rRNA from 1 species